GAGCGGUUAGCUCAGCUGGUUAGAGCACUACGUUGACAUCGUAGAGGUCGCAGGUUCGAGCCCCGCACCGCUCACCA
rnacentral:tRNA from 1 species